GGGUUGCAGCAGCUCAGACAAUCCUUACCGUGUGAAAGGAGGAAUACUGUCAUGGCAUGAAAAAAGCAUCACUAUGGAAAAGAAAACUCAGUAGAAGAUAAUGGCAAGUCCAGACUGGGGAUAUGAUGACAAAAAUG
rnacentral:sRNA from 1 species